rnacentral:rRNA from 10 species
CAACGCUAAUCGUAUCAUGGUUAGUCGGGACCUAAGGCGAACCCGAAAGGGGUAGUCGAUGGACAACUGGUUAAUAUUCCAGUACUAGCAUAUAUUGCGAUGGGAUGACGGAGUAGUGAAAGGUCUGCGUACUGACGGAAUAGUACGUUAAAGAGUGUAGGUAUAAGAAUUGUAGGAAAAUCCGCAAAUCUUGCUGAACUUGAUAGUACCACGAGCCUUCGGGCAAGUGGAUAAUGACCCUAAUCAGACUUCCAAGAAAAACCUCUAAGCUUCAGAUAUAUGCUACCCGUACCUCAAACCGACACAGGUAGUCAAGAAGAGAAUUCUAAGGUGCUCGAGUGAUUCAUGGUUAAGGAACUAGGCAAAAUCGCCUCGUAACUUCGGGAGAAGAGGCG